rnacentral:tRNA from 1 species
UGGCUCAGUCAGUAGAGCAUGAGACUCCUGAUCUCAGGGUCAUGAGUUCAAGCCCCAU